rnacentral:lncRNA from 1 species
CCGAGGGCGCUGAGGGCGCUGAGGGCCUGUUCGUGGUGCUGGGCGCCGGGCUCGCCGCUGCCAGCCACCCGCUGCUCUACGUCAAGCUGCUCGUCCAGGUCCGGGGCCGGCUGCGGGGCGGUGAGGGGCGAACCCCCGCGUGGGGGGGUCCGAGGAGGGCCUGUGUGAGGAGGGGUGCCGGGCCCCCUGUGUGACGGGGCAGGGCGUGCCCCGCGCACCGGGACCCCCUCUAAGCGGGGGUUGAACGGGGCAGGAGGGACCCCCGGCACGGGGACCGCAGCGUACGGGGGGGUGAGGACACCCCGUGUAAGGAGGGACUGUGCUGCACUGCCCCAGCCGAGGCCUCUGUGCAACGGGGACCGCGUUGCGAAGGUUGGGCAUGAGCCACUACCUCCAACCAUUGGAAGAAACGUGCUGGGAAAGAAAGUACUGUACCUGCCUGGCUUCUUUACCUAUGGUGAGUAUUCCUCCAGGCCAGCCCACACAUGCUAAGUGAAAUGCUGGAUCCAGUGUCCAGCUGCUCUUCCACCUUCCCAGCAGCAUCCGUGGUCUCAUUCUGAGGCUGCAGUUAGACGUUAUAUGCUACCACCAGUUGCACAGCCAUCAGAUGUACCUGUUGUUACGAGGCAGAGACAAGAAAGUUGUGGCCCAGUCUGCAUCCCCCUCCUAUGGCAUGUUGCACUGACUUGCUUCCAUAGCUGAGAGUGCAGUGGGGGUUUGUAUGAUGUAGGUUUGUUUGGUGGAGGGUUUUGCAUGUAUUAGAGAUAGUGUAUCGUGUUUCUUUGCUACAGAACAGCACUGCAAUAACUUGGCCUUCUGCCCAGCUCAUUUGUAUUGUAGGUGGAGCCCUAAAGGGACAAAAAUACUAUGAAAGGGGAAGGUAAUAUAUUUCUUUCUUUGUGGCUGCAGCACAGGAGAGGCAGGUGAAUACUGCCUGAAAGUAGGAGGUACUUUCACAGGUGUGCAUCACUUUGGGGAAAGUGAGCCCUGAGAGUUAAAUGGGGCCAAUCCCCAAAUCAGACAGCAGUACUUGAGGGUGAAGAGCCAAGAGCAGGAGCAGUACAAAAACACUGCAAGCUGGGACACCCAGAGCUGGAAAUGCUCCAGUGCUGUGCUUUGGAAGAUGAUGCAUUUUCCAAGUAGAUUUACAGCACUGCAUGAGGG